UAGGGAAUCUUCCGCAAUGGACGCAAGUCUGACGGAGCAACGCCGCGUGAGUGAAGAAGGAUUUCGGUUCGUAAAACUCUGUUGUUAGAGAAGAACAGCGCAUAGAGUAACUGUUAUGCGUGUGACGGUAUCUAACCAGAAAGCCACGGCUAACUACGUGCCAGCAGCCGCGGUAAUACGUAGGUGGCAAGCGUUGUCCGGAUUUAUUGGGCGUAAAGCGAGCGCAGGCGGUCAAAUAAGUCUGAUGUGAAAGCCCCCGGCUCAACCGGGGAGGGUCAUUGGAAACUGGUUGACUUGAGUGCAGAAGAGGAGAGUGGAAUUCCAUGUGUAGCGGUGAAAUGCGUAGAUAUAUGGAGGAACACCAGUGGCGAAGGCGACUCUCUGGUCUGUAACUGACGCUGAGGCUCGAAAGCGUGGGUAGCAAACAGG
rnacentral:rRNA from 1 species